rnacentral:misc_RNA from 1 species
AAGUCGUAACAAGGUUUCCGUAGGUGAACCUGCGGAAGGAUCAUUAUUGAAAUGUGGUUUGUCGAGGUGCCAACCUUAACUACCUAGGUAGGUCCAGCUGAAAAGUUGGAUUUGGAACGUCCUUGCUUUCCAAAAAACCAUCCUGUGCACCGUAUAUGCUUUUGCGUAGCUUUCUAUGUUUGUCUGAUGUUAGCUUUUACUACUUUGGCUUUUUUGGCCAGAGGAACAAAAAGAAAACAACUUUUAACAAUGGAUCUCUUGGCUCUC